rnacentral:lncRNA from 1 species
GGUCAGAGAACAUGGUGGCUUGAGCUAAGAGAGGGGUGCUCUGAGGAACAAAUAUUAUUUAGGUUCCUACAUAUGUACAUGGAAAGAAAAAAGUCUGGAAUAUAAUGGCAGGAUAAGUAACUUCCAGCAAGAGGAUGGGAGCAGGAAGAGGUACUUCAAACCUUUGUUCUACUUAUUCGUGUGUAGUUUGGAUUUUUAAAAACGUUUCUAAUCAACAUGUUCAUAUAUUACAUGUGUGUUUAGAAAUAAAUUAUAAGAAGCAAAAAAAAGAAUAAAAACUCAAUUUCUUUAUAAAAAAUAAGAAAAUUGGAGAAAUUUAGGACUAACAUAAGGUUAGUAGAUAAGAAGUGACUAUAAUUUGAAUUGGUACUGAUUUUAUCUCUUUGAUUCUAAGGUACAUGAUCUGAUGUUUAAAAAAAUAAACAGCUUUCUGUUCAUUGUAGCAGCUGUUUACUUGAAAAAAUCUAAAAAAUAUAGCCAAUUAAUAAGCUAUUUAGAGCAUAUUAUGAAGAAUAAAAGAAAUGAUUAAUUUUCUUAAUCCCAGUUGGUCGCGAUUAUUAGAAAAUUAAAUGGCUUAAAGGAAUUUCUCAAAAGGAAGUUUUCAGAGUGAUUGCAAUUUAGAACCAAAGGAAAAUCAGUUGCAAGUAAAGUUUCGACAAUGUUUAUACAAAUAGCUAUCUUGCUUGUAUGUUUUCAUGUCUAUGUCUGGAUAACGUCAUGAAAACAAGAAACAUAAACAUGAUAGUGCAAUUUUGAAUAUUAUUUUCUUAAGGGUUUUAUUUAAUGUUGUAAUAGAUUAGCCUUUAAAAAAACCUGAUUAUUAUAUGAAAAACUUAAAAAUUUUUAUUUUAUUUUCCUAUUCAUUUCAUUUAUUUUUGUCUUAGUUUUGUAAUCAAGUGAUUUUAUGUAUGAAAAUUAACACAAAAAUUGAGGAUAAAAUUACCUCAUAUGCUUUAUUUAUUAUUUUAAAGUUUCACUUUAAUUUUUCACUUUUUAAAAGCAAGUUUUCUUUUUUCUCUUUUUCCUUACACCAGUUCUAAUAACUUUUUAAAAGUGAGAUAGGCCAUUUUGGAGAAGAAGAAAUACUUCCGUGUGAUUAUUUGACACCAACAAUGCAAUGAAUGCGGAGAGGUGCGUUUAAAUUAUUUUUUCAAUUCGAAUACAAUAAUCUGUGGAAAUCACAUGGGGACAGAUGCUCCUGAGAAAUUACUAUAUUUCUAAACAAGGUUGGAAUUUCCUACAGAAUGAGAAUUAAGCAUUGUUAAGCACUUCAAAAUUAACAACUCAGCAGAAAUCAUGCAACUAGGUAUAAAAAAAAUGUUCAAAUUCAAUAAUAUAAAAAUUCUAAUUAAAAAUUAAAGAGAAACUAUUAUUAAUAAAGUUUAAGUAUAUAAUUCAGCCAUAAUCUUUAUCCUGUUUCCAAAUUUCAAACAGGUAGGCCGGGCAUGAUGGCUCAUGCCUGUAAUCCCAGCACUUUGGGAGGCCAAGGUGGGCAGAUCACCUGAGGUCAGGAGUUCAAGACUAGCCUGGUCAACAUGGCAAAACCCCAUCUCUACUAAAAAUGUAAAAAAAAAAUAGCCGGGCAUUGUGGUGGGUGCCUGUAAUCCCAGCUACUCAGGAGGCUGAGGCACAAGAAUUGCUUGAAUUUGGGAGGCAGAGGUUGCAGUGGGCUGAGACUGCAUCACUGCACUCCAGCCUGGGUGACAGAGUGAGACUCCGUCUCAAAAACAAAACAAAAACACCCAAAAAAAUCCCCAAAUUUCAAAUAGGUAAUAAAAUUUCUAUGAUAUUAUUGUCAUAAUGUUAAGUAAUUAUAAAAGUCCCCAAAUUAUACAUAAAUGAUUAUUAUAAAUGUAUUAUAAUAAAGUAGUUAUUUUUGUAAAAUAUUGUGAUUGCUUUUUAAAUUCAGGACAUAAUAAAUGUUAUGACUAUCAAUGACAUCAGCAGUGUCUUGUACAAGAUCAAACUUGAGAUGAUGUGAAUAAAACCACAAGCAAUCUUACAUUAUUUUCAAUGAAUUUCUACAUAAGAUGAGAGAACAGUCAUGCUUGAAGCUUGUUUUUGUAACAAAUUAUGAAUAGGUAUUAAAAUAAAUGCUUAUUAUCAUAGCUGGAAAAGAUCCAUUGCAUAUGGAUGUUCAAAUUGUUCCAUAUUAUCUAGUUUGAUAUAUAAAAUCUUGUGAUAUCAGUAGAACAGGUAAAAUUAGUCCUCAUUUCAUAGAUGAAGUAAAAUUUGAGUUUAAAUGACUUGCUCAAGUCAAACAAUUGGCUACUGAAUAAGGAAGCAGGGACUAAAGGCCAGGUUUGCUGACCUUGGUUUAGUAAGUUUCAUUUCCAUUAUUCCACCAGGAAAUUUACAUAUAAUUAAAUGUACUUCUUUUAGUAUACUUUGUUUUCUGAAAAAGUUUGUGUAGAAUUGGUAUUAUUAUUAUUAUUAUUAUUUGAGACUGAGUCUUGCUCUGUCACCCAGGCUGGAGUGCA